rnacentral:rRNA from 1 species
UACGAAGGGGGCUAGCGUUGCUCGGAAUUACUGGGCGUAAAGGGCGCGUAGGCGGAUAUUUAAGUCGGGGGUGAAAGCCCGGGGCUCAACCUCGGAAAUGCCUUCGAUACUGGAUAUCUUGAGUUCGGGAGAGGUGAGUGGAAUGCCGAGUGUAGAGGUGAAAUGCGCAGAUAUCAGGAAGAACACCUAUGGCGAAGGCAGCUCUCUGGGACGGUACUGACGCUGAGACGCGAAAGCGUGGGGAGCGAACAGG